rnacentral:other from 1 species
UAUCCCCUGCAGUGUUUGUAAGCGAAUCGGGUAUUUUCUUGAGCCUAUUCAUUACCCCGGGGACUUAAUAGGAGUGCCAUUGUGCAUGUCCGCCCCCGAGCGGAAAGCCUUAAGCCUCCUUGUCGUCCCCACUUGAACCUACUGGUUCAAGAACGAUGAUUUGCUACGGCACAGGUGGGGGGUAC